GAAAGAAGCAAAAAUCAUGAAAGAAUGCUAAAGGACCCAUGUGUAGGAGCAACACUUCUUCACAAGAGCCCCUGGAAGGUGCAGGAGUCUUUGAAUUUCACAUGAAGAAUUAUUUUUCAACACACCUACGAAGUUUCAUUGUGGUGUCUUGGUACUCAAAGGAGAAGAUGUGCUACAAGCAAUUUCCCCAAAGGAAAAAUGCCCGCAGAAGCUUUCAUAUACCUGUAUGUUUUCCCUAGUAGGGAAAAUAACAGCUUGGGGCAGGGGGCGGGGGACAACUCUUUUCAAAGGCACAGGAGGAAAGGGUUUAACUAGGAUCACUAGGCUCCUGAUCCAAAUGAGUGGCCCUCACAGCUGCUUAGAAAUGGAGCCUCCGCUCAGUAGCAGAGCAUCUGCUUUGCAUGGAGAAGGUCCUCAGUUCAGGCGCUGGCAGCAUCUCCAGUUAAGACUGGGAACGACCCUCGAGCAUGAAACUCUGGAGAGCUGCUGCCAUGCAGAGUAGACCGCACUGAGCUAGACAGACCAAGGAUCUGACUCAGCAUCAGACAGCUUCCUACAUGUAAAAAUAUAUACUUAAAGGAACAGGAGAUCCAGUUAUGACUCUCCAUUGUCUUGCGCACUUUGGCCCUCAGAGAGAUUAAAAAAUAAAUAAAUCCUGGAUGUUGACAAUGAGCCGCAAUUGUAUUCAUAGUUCCGCUGAAGAAGGGCCUGUUCUGGUUCCUAUGACAUCUUCAGGCAAUGGCGCUCUUACCCCCGGACCAGGGCCCCCACACCCCCUGGGGGCCCCCAAAUCCUCUUUAGUCUCUCCCGGGUGGUGUGGCUGCCACACUGUGCCGUCAGCACCACUGUGACCUGUGCUGGGCGGCUGAGUGU